rnacentral:rRNA from 1 species
UACGGGGGGGGUAAGCGUUGUUCGGAAUUACUGGGCGUAAAGGGCUCGUAGGCGGCCAACUAAGUCAGACGUGAAAUCCCUCAGCUUAACUGGGGAACUGCGUCUGAUACUGGAUGGCUUGGAUUCGGGAGAGGAAUGCGGAAUUCCAGGUGUAGCGGUGGAAUGCGCAGAUAUCAGGAGGAACACCGGUGGCGAAGGCGGGUCUCUGGGCAGUAACUGACGCUGAGGAGCGAAAGCCAGGGGAGCAAACGGG